AUGCUCGCUUUGGCAGCACAGACACCAAAACUGGAAUGAUACAGAGAAGAUUAGGAUGACCUCUGCCCAAGGA
ensembl:snRNA U6 U6 spliceosomal RNA